GUWUCCAUGGUGUAUAUAGCACAAAAGUUUGUGGAUCUUUAGGAAGAUGUGAGAGUCUUGGAGGCC
rnacentral:tRNA from 1 species